rnacentral:lncRNA from 1 species
CUUAAGGGUGCAGGGCUGGGUAAUGAAUAAAUGAUUGUAAUGCCUUUGGAAAUGGAAGUGCUAUGCAAAUGCUAAAUGAUAAUAGGAGAAAAUAAUCAUCUUCCAUUAUCUUCUUUAAAGAUGUAAAUGACAUAACUCUUUUAAAUCUAAAGUGGGUUCAAGAAACAGCAGUAUGCUGAACAGGGAGGUGGACCAAGUGAUCCUGCAAACCCAUUCAGCGCUCUGAAUGCAAUUACAGUGCUGACCAUCAGCCCUGAAAACAAAUUACAGUAGCUAAUGACAGGGAACAGUAAUUAGAAUGUUUUUAGAAAAUUACUUGGAAACAAAAUUGUCAACAAAGACCUCUCAAAUAUAGAUGUAAACAGCUUAAAUAACAGAAUAAUGCAGUGACCUCUGCCCCCAAGUGACACGAAGAUGAUGUUAAACACAUUCCGGGUCCCAAAUCACCGUCUUCCAAAGUGAUUAUGUACCCCUUCCCCAGCCUCAGUGGCUUAUCUAGAAAUCAGAGAGACUCCAUAUGGCUUAAGGGUGCAGGGCUGGGUAAUGAAUAAAUGAUUGUAAUGCCUUUGGAAAUGGAAGUGCUAUGCAAAUGCUAAAUGAUAAUAGGAGAAAAUAAUCAUCUUCCAUUAUCUUCUUUAAAGAUGUAAAUGACAUAACUCUUUAAAUCUAAAGUGGGUUCAAGAAACAGCAGUAUGCUGAACAGGAGGUGGACCAAGUGAUCCUGCAAACCCAUUCAGCGCUCUGAAUGCAAUUACAGUGCUGACCAUCAGCCCUGAAAACAAAUUACAGUAGCUAAUGACAGGGAACAGUAAUUAGAAUGUUUUUAGAAAAUUACUUGGAAACAAAAUUGUCAACAAAGACCUCUCAAAUAUAGAUGUAAACAGCUUAAAUAACAGAAUAAUGCAGUGACCUCUGCCCCCAAGUGACACGAAGAUGAUGUUAAACACAUUCCGGGUCCCAAAUCACCGUCUUCCAAAGUGAUUAUGUACAUUGUUUUUAACCUCAGUCUUCGUGGGUCAUUCCAAAUGAGGUGGAGAGCCAAGUGCCCUUGAACAUUCUGCUGUUUAGUAAAGUCUUAUCCGGGUUCACCGUAUAUUCUGGAUAAGUCUCCUUUCCCUC